GAGUAACACGUGAGAAUUUGCCUUUAGGAGGGGGAUAACAAUUGGAAACGAAUGCUAAUACCCCCCCGCUAGAUUUAAUUUUC
rnacentral:rRNA from 13 species